UAGAGUAUCUGAAAAAAAAAAGAAAAGAAUGUGGUAUGACAUAGGUACUCCAUUGCAUUAUAUAAAAUUUGACAUUUUGAAUACCAGUUAAAUUUAAAGAUUCUUCAAUCAGUAAAAAUAAUGAUAUUCUAGAAACUUGUUGGAAAUAUGUGUAUGUAAAAAAAAAAAGAGAAAAGAAACUCAUAAAUUUAAAUAGAAUUGAUGAUCAUGUUAGCUUAAACCAGGUUGUAGACAUUUAGACAAUUGAUAGCCUCAAA
rnacentral:misc_RNA from 1 species